rnacentral:rRNA from 1 species
AGUGAACGCUGGCGGUAUGCCUAACACAUGCAAGUCGAACGGCAGCACAGUAAGCUCUUGCUCUUACGGUUGGCGAGUGGCGGACGGGUAAGGAAUAGAUCGGAAUCUACUUUUUCGUGGGGGAUUACGUAGGGAAACUUACGCUAAUACCGCAUACGACGUACGGGUGAAAGCAGGGGAUCUUCGGACCUUUCGCGAUUGAAUGAGCCGAUGUCGGAUUAGCUAGUUGGCGGGGUAAAGGCCCACCAAGGCGACGAUACGUAGCUGGUCUGAGAGGAUGAUCAGCCACACUGGAACUGAGACACGGUCCAGACUCCUACGGGAGGCAGCAGUGGGGAAUCUUGGACAAUGGGCGAAAGCCUGACCCAGCAAUACCGCGUGAGUGAAGAAGGUCUUCGGGUCGUAAAGCCCUUUUGUUGGGAAAGAAAAGCAGUAGGAGAAACCACCGCCGUCCUGACGGUACCCAAAGAAUAAGCACCGGCUAACUUCGUG